GAUGAACGCUGGCGGCGUGCCUAAUACAUGCAAGUCGAGCGAACAGACGAGGAGCUUGCUCCUCUGACGUUAGCGGCGGACGGGUGAGUAACACGUGGAUAACCUACCUAUAAGACUGGGAUAACUUCGGGAAACCGGAGCUAAUACCGGAUAAUAUAUUGAACCGCAUGGUUCAAUAGUGAAAGACGGUUUUGCUGUCACUUAUAGAUGGAUCCGCGCCGCAUUAGCUAGUUGGUAAGGUAACGGCUUACCAAGGCUACGAUGCGUAACCGACCUGAGCGGGUGAUCGGCCACCCUGGAACUGAGACACGGUCCAUACUCCUACGGGAGGCAGCAGUAGGGAAUCUGCCGCAAUGGGCGAAAGCUUGACGGAGCAACGCCGCGUGAGUGAUGAAGGUCUUCGGAUCGUAAAACUCUGUUAUUAGGGAAGAACAAAUGUGUAAGUAACUAUGCACGUCUUGACGGUACCUAAUCAGAAAGCCACGGCUAACUACGUG
rnacentral:rRNA from 1 species